GUCCAGGGGCGGGAAUCGAACCCACAACCUUCCGCUUACCGGACAGAUGCCAUGUCCACUAGGCUACCCUGGA
rnacentral:tRNA from 1 species